rnacentral:lncRNA from 1 species
UCACUCGACUCUACUACUGCCAGGAGGAGGAGAUCCCAGAGCUCGAAAUCGAUGUGGAUGAACUCUUGGACAUGGAAAGUGAUGAUACUCGGGCUGCUAGAGUCAAGGAGCUGCUAGUUAACUGCUACAAACCCACUGAGGCCUUCAUCUCUGGCCUGCUGGAUAAGAUCCGGGGCAUGCAGAAGCUGAGCACACCCCAGAAGAAGUAAGGGUCCUGACUCAGAUGACCAUGGCUCCCACAGGACAAUCGCUGCCCCCCAACCUCGUAGCAACAGCAAUACUGGGGGACCCUGCAGCCAGGCCUGGUGCCAUGGGCAGGGAUCCCUGUGCCCCGCCUAGGGGCCGUUCCCUCGCCCUCAGUUUUCCAUUUUGGGUUUUUUUAUUGUUAUUAAACUGAUGGGACUUUAAAA